AAUCGAUCCACUAAUUGACGCCUGUACUCCACCUAGGCAGGAGAAGUAAGCGGAGUCAACCAGGGCGCCGCGGCAGUUGACUUGCCACAGUGAGGACGGCCAGCUCUGCAAUCUGGGA